UCGGAAACGGACGCUAAUACCGCAUACGUCCUACGGGAGAAAGCAGGGGACCUUCGGGCCUUGCGCUAUCAGAUGAGCCUAUGUCGGAUUAGCUAGUUGGUGAGGUAAUGGCUCACCAAGGCGACGAUCCGUAACUGGUCUGAGAGGAUGAUCAGUCACACUGGAACUGAGACACGGUCCAGACUCCUACGGGAGGCAGCAGUGGGGAAUAUUGGACAAUGGGCGAAAGCCUGAUCCAGCCAUGCCGCGUGUGUGAAGAAGGUCUUCGGAUUGUAAAGCACUUUAAGUUGGGAGGAAGGGCAGUUACCUAAUACGUGAUUGUUUUGACGUUACCGACAGAAUAAGCACCGGCUAACUCUGUGCCAGCAGCCGCGGUAAUACAGAGGGUGCAAGCGUUAAUCGGAAUUACUGGGCGUAAAGCGCGCGUAGGUGGUUAGUUAAGUUGGAUGUGAAAUCCCCGGGCUCAACCUGGGAACUGCAUUCAAAACUGACUGACUAGAGUAUGGUAGAGGGUGGUGGAAUUUCCUGUGUACGGUGAAUGCGUAGAUAUAGGAAGGAACACAGUGGCGAAGCGACCACCUGGACUGAUACUGACACUGAGGUGCUAACCGUGGGGAGCAACAGGAUUAGAUACCCUGGUAGUCCCGCCGGAACGAUGUCACUAGCCGUUGGGAGCCUGAGCUCUUGUGGCGCGCUACGCAUAAGUUGACCGCCUGGAGAGUACGGCGCGAGGUUAAACUCACUGAUUGACGGGGCCGCACAGCGGUGGACCAUGUGUUUAUUCGAGCGCGUA
rnacentral:rRNA from 1 species